CUACGGGCGGCUCCAGUGGGGAAUCUUAGACAAUGGGGGAAACCCUGAUCUAGCCAUGCCGCGUGAGUGACGAAGGCCCUAGGGUCGUAAAGCUCUUUCACCAGGGAAGAUAAUGACGGUACCUGGAGAAGAAACCCCGGCUAACUCCGUGCCAGCAGCCGCGGUAAUACGGAGGGGGUUAGCGUUGUUCGGAAUUACUGGGCGUAAAGCGCGCGUAGGCGGACGGUUAAGUCGGGGGUGAAAUCCCGGGGCUCAACCCCGGAACUGCCCUCGAUACUGGCAGUCUUGAGUUCGAGAGAGGUGAGUGGAAUUCCGAGUGUAGAGGUGAAAUUCGUAGAUAUUCGGAGGAACACCAGUGGCGAAGGCGGCUCACUGGCUCGAUACUGACGCUGAGGUGCGAAAGUGUGGGGAGCAAACAGGAUUAGAUACCCCCGUAGUC
rnacentral:rRNA from 1 species